rnacentral:rRNA from 1 species
CUGGCGGCGUGCUUAACCAUGCAAGUCGAACGGUGAAGCCAAGCUUGCUUGGUGGAUCAGUGGCGAACGGGUGAGUAACACGUGAGCAACCUGCCCUGGACUCUGGGAUAAGCGCUGGAAACGGCGUCUAAUACUGGAUAUGAGCUCCUUCCGCAUGGUGGGGGUUGGAAAGAUUUUUCGGUCUGGGAUGGGCUCGCGGCCUAUCAGCUUGUUGGUGAGGUAAUGGCUCACCAAGGCGUCGACGGGUAGCCGGCCUGAGAGGGUGACCGGCCACACUGGGACUGAGACACGGCCCAGACUCCUACGGGAGGCAGCAGUGGGGAAUAUUGCACAAUGGGCGGAAGCCUGAUGCAGCAACGCCGCGUGAGGGAUGACGGCCUUCGGGUUGUAAACCUCUUUUAGCAGGGAAGAAGCGAAAGUGACGGUACCUGCAGAAAAAGCGCCGGCUAACUACGUGCCAGCAGCCGCGGUAAUACGUAGGGCGCAAGCGUUAUCCGGAAUUAUUGGGCGUAAAGAGCUCGUAGGCGGUUUGUCGCGUCUGCUGUGAAAUCCCGAGGCUCAACCUCGGGCCUGCAGUGGGUACGGGCAGACUAGAGUGCGGUAGGGGAGAUUGGAAUUCCUGGUGUAGCGGUGGAAUGCGCAGAUAUCAGGAGGAACACCGAUGGCGAAGGCAGAUCUCUGGGCCGUAACUGACGCUGAGGAGCGAAAGGGUGGGGAGCAAACAGGCUUAGAUACCCUGGUAGUCCACCCCGUAAACGUUGGGAACUAGUUGUGGGGACCAUUCCACGGUUUCCGUGACGCAGCUAACGCAUUAAGUUCCCCGCCUGGGGAGUACGGCCGCAAGGCUAAAACUCAAAGGAAUUGACGGGGACCCGCACAAGCGGCGGAGCAUGCGGAUUAAUUCGAUGCAACGCGAAGAACCUUACCAAGGCUUGACAUAUACGAGAACGGGCCAGAAAUGGUCAACUCUUUGGACACUCGUAAACAGGUGGUGCAUGGUUGUCGUCAGCUCGUGUCGUGAGAUGUUGGGUUAAGUCCCGCAACGAGCGCAACCCUCGUUCUAUGUUGCCAGCACGUAAUGGUGGGAACUCAUGGGAUACUGCCGGGGUCAACUCGGAGGAAGGUGGGGAUGACGUCAAAUCAUCAUGCCCCUUAUGUCUUGGGCUUCACGCAUGCUACAAUGGCCGGUACAAAGGGCUGCAAUACCGUAAGGUGGAGCGAAUCCCAAAAAGCCGGUCCCAGUUCGGAUUGAGGUCUGCAACUCGACCUCAUGAAGUCGGAGUCGCUAGUAAUCGCAGAUCAGCAACGCUGCGGUGAAUACGUUCCCGGGUCUUGUACACACCGCCCGUCAAGUCAUGAAAGUCGGUAACACCUGAAGCCGGUGGCCCAACCCUGUGGAGAGAAGCAUAAUGAAAAAACGGUAU